rnacentral:rRNA from 1 species
UGAGUGAAUGCUAACGGUAUGCCUAACACAUGCAAGUCGAACGCAAUUUUAUAUUGAGUGGCGCACGGGUGAGUAAUGCUUAAGAACUUAACUAAUAGUUCAGAAUAAUAGUUUUGCGACUAAAAAACACUGGAUAAUCAAAGAUUUUAUCGCUAUUAGAAAGGCUUAAGUAGGAUUAGGUAGUUGGUGAAGUAAAGGUUUACCAAGCCGAUGAUCCUUAGUUGGUCUGGGAGGAUGAUCAGCCACACUGGAAUUGAAAAAAGGUCCAGACUUAUUUUAAGGCAGCAGUGGGGAAUAUUGGACAAUGGGCGAAAGCUUGAUCCAGCAAUAUCGUGUGAGUGAUGAAGACUGUUUGGUUGUAAAGCUCUUUUACCAAGAAGAUAAUGACUGUAUUUGGAGAAUAAGCCCCGGCUAACUUCGCGCCAGCAGCCGC